rnacentral:rRNA from 1 species
GCAAGUCGAGCGGACCGACGGGAGCUUGCUCCCUUAGGUCAGCGGCGGACGGGUGAGUAACACGUGGGUAACCUGCCUGUAAGACUGGGAUAACUCCGGGAAACCGGGGCUAAUACCGGAUGCUUGAUUGAACCGCAUGGUUCAAUCAUGAAAGGCGGCUUCGGCUGCCGUUUACAGAUGGACCCGCGGCGCAUUAGCUAGUUGGUGAGGUAACGGCUCACCAAGGCGACGAUGCGUAGCCGACCUGAGAGGGUGAUCGGCCACACUGGGACUGAGACACGGCCCAGACUCCUACGGGAGGCAGCAGUAGGGAAUCUUCCGCAAUGGACGAGAGUCUGACGGAGCAACGCCGCGUGAGUGAUGAAGGUUUUCGGAUCGUAGAGCUCUGUUGUUAGGGAAGAACAAGUACCGUUCGAAUAGGGCGGUACCUUGACGGUACCUAACCAGAAAGCCACGGCUAACUACGUGCCAGCAGCCGCGGUAAUA